rnacentral:lncRNA from 1 species
CUCAGGCCACAGUCAUUUGCUCCUUCCAAGAAAUGAAAGGAAAGGAACAUGGAGAGAAAGGGGAAAGUAAUAUUUUCUGUGUGCCUACUAUCUAACAAGCUCUGUGCCAGAAGCUUAACAUGUUGGUUACAUCAUUUAAUCCAAAACACCACCUUAGAAGGACCAGACUUAUGAAGUGGCCUUCCUGAGGAGAUUUUCUGACCUUAUGGUAUGAAGUUCCUUCAGGCUCUUAAUUCUGGAUAAACUGGAGUGAUUAACAAGAGCAAAGAGACAUAGUAUUCAGAUAAGGACUUUGUGUCUUAUUUUUCUUUUAUAUCACAACUGGAGCCACAGUUGUGGGCAAGGCACUGACUUUCUUGAUGAAUUCUGUCCAUCUGUAAAGCAGCUAUAUAUCCCACUGGAGGCUUUGCCUCUCAGAGACAACGUGAAGACGGAUAAGCAGGCAUCAGGAGCAGAGUGGCCUCUCAGCUUCCGCCAAGAACUUCUUACCUGGGCAUGUAUUUCUAUCCUAUUCACUUUUUACUCUCUGGCGUGGAACUUCUUCCUACCAAACUGUCAUCCUCUGCACCUCUCCUGGCCUUCCUCACAAGUUUGUAAGCAUUAAGAAGGUGCGCUGCAUGCUUCAUUAAAUUCCUCCUUGGAAGGGCUGAGUUCA